CCACAAAGGACACGUGCAAUGACUAUUAGAACAUGAAUAAAACCGAACAAACUCGUGUAAAUGUCACAGCCACUUACCCGACAGCUCUUUCAAACUUUAACUAUCACACCGCACUCUACUCCUCUGUUAUUAAAGAAUGUGUUAUCAGGCCAAGUUACGAUCAAUCAUUAACAGCCUUCAAAUGAUACAAUCAUGCCUGCGUGAUAUCACCUCCACAUUAACGUUGAUCAACACAUGGAUGGGACUGUGACCUUUGAUCCCAGAGUUGGACUAAUCAAACACAGCCACUCUGUGUGUUAUUGAUCAGCUGUGGCUGGGGCUCAGUGUACAGGAUGGUGAUCUGAUUGAGUUGUGGAGAUAAGCCAACUCAGUGGGGACAACAGGUUGUCUGUGGGGAAACUAGCUCAGCCAAGAAAGAGCAGCUAUUGACCUGUUGCUGAUGGUCCUGUGCCAGCUCAAUAUGCAUGAUAUUGAGUGGCUAUGCCUCAGCCAGACAGUUUCACAUUUGCAUGCUGUGUGUUAGUUCGGUCUUAUUGAGCGAGCAGCAGUGGAUCUUUACUUGUUUGUUAACACAUUUAAUUGGGUUUACUCGUUGUGGACAUUUAAAUACACAUGGUGAGAUCUAGUUACAGUUGUAGAGGAUUUGUCCUUUUAUUUUAAACUGAAACCAUGUGCCAUUAUUUGUGUGCUGUGUCCUUUCGUCUGAAAACGGGCUCUGUCAAGCAAUACUAUCAAACCCAACUGAGGGAGCGUUUGUGGUUGUUCACCAGCAGAGCAGGGGUGGGCUGGGUCAAGAAGCAUCCGUCAACCUUCUGAAAAACUGUCUGCCCACAUGCUGGUCCCGUCACCACCUCUCAUGAGAACAUGGUAGGUGAAGAAGUAGAUGCCAGGCAGAGGGCAGGUGAAUUUGCC